CGUAGGGUGCGAGCGUUAAUCGGAAUUACUGGGCGUAAAGCGUGCGCAGGCGGUUAGUUAAGUCUGAUGUGAAAGCCCCGGGCUCAACUUGGGAAUGGCGUUGGAAACUGGCUGGCUAGAGUGCGGCAGAGGGGGGUGGAAUUCCGCGUGUAGCAGUGAAAUGCGUAGAGAUGCGGAGGAACACCGAUGGCGAAGGCAGCCCCCUGGGCUGACACUGACGCUCAGGCACGAAAGCGUGGGGAGCAAAAGGG
rnacentral:rRNA from 1 species